AUGUUUGGAAAUGCGUCGGGUCUCAAAACAAACCUGAGUAAAUCGGUGGCAUACCCAAUUGCUUGCUUGGACAAUGACCUGCAACAGCUACUAGGGCCUGCUAGGAUUGCCCAAGGAUCCCUCCCCUGUCAAUACUUGGGGCUGCCCCUGGGAGUGCGUAAGCCGAAGAGGAUUGAGGUGCAACCGCUAAUUGAUAAGAUUGCCGGUAAGCUGUCUUUAAGGAAAGACCGGCUUCUGAACAGAAAGGGCAGACUGGUUUACACAAAUUCGGUGAUCACGGCCACGGCAACAUACUUCUUGACUGCUUUUCCCCCUGAUAAAUGGUUUAUCAAGAAGGUGGAUAAGUUGAGGAGAAAUUUCCUUUGGGAGGCGGACGAUACAAACAUUGGGGGGCGAAGCCUUGUAAACUGGACACAAGUGUGCUCCCUAAUAAAGAAUGGAGGGCUGGGGGUGAAGAACAUUGAAUGUUUCAGUCGGGCCCUCCGACUGCGAUGGGAAUGGUUUCGCUGGGCUGAGGAAGACAGGCCAUGGAAGGGAUCGCCGACGCCAUGUGAUGAGAAGGACAAGCAACUGUUUGCGAGCUACACUUCGAUCCUGCUAGGGGAUGGGCGAACGGCUGCUUUCUGGACGGACAGAUGGCUGAAUGGAGAAGCCCCCUGCAUGGUCUUUCCAGAACUGUAU
rnacentral:rRNA from 1 species